rnacentral:lncRNA from 1 species
AUGACUCCAGUGACCUCACCCUUACAGAUGCUCAAAGGUUACCUCCUCAGGACUGGCCAGGGGUGGGCAUGCAGCCUCUACUUUUUGCAUCUGCCAGCACACAGUUGUAUGCUCAUCCUCUCUUUCACCUGUAAGAUCAGGUAUGUAGUAUACAGACUAAAGUGUCUUCCCAGAAAUAAUCUGACAUUAAUCAGUUUACACCUCCCCAAGUUACUGUAUGAAUCAUUUUCUUCUAAUGGUUGCAUCAAAUUAAAAGCAAAACAAAGCAAAACUGGGAAAAAAUUUCUUGCCUCUGAAACAAUUUAAGGCCAAAUUGGAAGUGCAUAUUUUGUUCUUGGCCAUUUCUGUUUAUUUUAUCAAUUUUGUAUUUAUAUGAGCAUAUUUGUACCUGGUAGAUCCAAUACAUAGAUUACCCAAUUUUUAAAAAGAUUGUCCCUCUAUUCCUGAAUGUGAUAUUAUAUGAGUCAUAUAAUGGCAGCUUUCUUCUUAAUUAAACUUAAAAUUUGUUUUCUUUGAUAGGCCUAGAGGGUAUUAUGCUAAGUGAAAUAAAUCAGAAUAGAAAGACAAAUAGCAUAUGAUUCCAUUCAUAAGUGGGACCUAAAAACAAAUAAGCAAACAAAUGAACGAAUUCAUAAAAAAGCAGAAUCAGACCUGUAAAUACAGAGAACAAACUAGUGGUUACCAGAGGGAAGGGGGAUGGAAGUGAGCAAAAUGGGUGAAGGGGAGUGGAAGAUACAGGCUUCUAGUUAUGGAAUGUGGAAGUCACGGGAAUAGAAAUCACAGCAUAGGGAAUAUAGUCCAUGAUAUUGUAGUAGGCAUGUAAUGGGACAGAUGUAGCUACCCUUGUGGUGAAUAUAGCAUAGUGUAUGAAAUUGUCAAACCACUAAGUUGUAUGUCUAAAACUAAUAUAACAUUGUGUGUCAACUACACUCAAAUUAAAAAUUAAAAAAAAUAGAACUUUGCUCAGGGUAGCAAGGAACUUCUGGAGUUCAAGCUUGGCCAGUUCAAUUCUGGACACUGAUACAUCUCAAUUAAUUUUAAUUUUAUGGAUAUAUAUAUAUAAUGGAAUUAGCUGAAGAAGCUCAGUGCCAACUUUCUAGUCCCUGGUCCUUAUUCGGAACCUGACCCCUACUUAAGGUCAAGUUUGAAGGGCACCAUCUUUUGAAGGAUAAGAAAAGCACUUCCUGUGGAGUGAAGUGGCAAUCUAUUCUGAAAUACUUUUUAAUUUUUAAGCUUAUUCUUUAAUGUGUACUUUCUUUUUAUUUUUAAUUUUUUUAAAUUUAUUUAUGAUAGUCACACAGAGAGAGAGAGAGAGAGAGAGGCAGAGACACAGGCAGAGGGAGAAGCAGGCUCCAUGCACCGGGAGCCCGACGUGGGAUUUGAUCCCAGGUCUCCAGGAUCGCGCCCUGGGCCAAAGGCAGACGCUAAACCGCUGCGCCACCCAGGGAUCCCUAAUGUGUACUUUCUUAACAUUUAAACUUUUAAACAUUUAACAUUUCAAAAGUGAAAUUUUUAAAAAGGCCUUUUGAAUGACCUCCUCAUUCAUAGAGGACAACAGCAUUCUUUCAGGUGAAGCUGAAUAGUUGUGAGUUCCAUGUCAUUAACCAGGCUUUAAGAGUCAGUUGACAAUAUUGUCAAAUUACAUAAUUUUUGUUAGGCAUCCACCAACAUUUGAUGGCUUUUGAGUUAAUAAACUUACUUAGUUGUUCAGACAUGCAUUUUACAACUAUUUAAUCUUGAUGAGUGCAUCAGGAAGUUUUAUUGCUUAGUAUUAAAUAUUCCAUGAGAGCUUUAUUGAUUUUUUUUUGCCAAUUACAGGGUGGGUGUUGGACUAUUCUUGAUUUUAAAGAUCUCAGGUUGCUUUUUGUUAACCUCAACAGAAACAACUUUCUGGAACUUGUUGGUAGAAUGUGGGGUUAUCUUUUCAGACCACUAUUGUGGUGCCUUGGCUGCUGCUGUGGGUGGUCCAUGCAAAACUGGAGGGGUGGGGCUACACUUGCCUCAACAUUUGUUGCUUUGAUGGAUACUAGGCAUUCCUAUAAGAUUUUAUUUGAAUAAAGAGUUUAAUUCAACCACUUAACAGCACUGCUUUAUGACCCAGGGCACUAGGGACUAGAUGGCCCUUCAGCAUCCUGUCAUAGUGGACCAGAAUUGUUUCUUAAGACUGUUUGGCACUUCAGAAGCAGCCCCGUGACCCAUAUGGACCACAUCUUAUUUUUUUUUUUUUUGGACCACAUCUUAAAGUGGUGCUGUGUCCAGGUGCUGUUCUCGUCACACCACUCAGCUUUCACAGGAAGACCAUAGUCAUACCUCAGCCCUCAAAUCAGCUAACGCUACUGCUUUGCAUUUGAACAACGUGGUUCCAUACAGUAUACUCUACUCAGAAGUAUAAACUUGAACCACACUCUUUCUUACCUAAGGAAAUAUUUCAUGAGAGAGAUUUAUAGAUGAUUGAUCAGUGAAUUGUCAAUCAAUGCAUUUUUCUAGGUACUAUAAAAUCUAUUCUUGGGUUAUGUUGGUUAACAGCAAUCUGCAUGCUGGACCCAACUGUGAACUUGCUGUUACUGAAUCCUGCUUGUCUUGACACUAUGCACUCCUUUGGGAGGAUUUAGGAGGGAAGACUAGCAGCUUGUGGCUGCCUUUACUGCACUGAGAGCUGCCUGGGUGUUAUCUCUAUCCUUCCCUGUCCUCUACAGAAGAAGGAGCCACUCUUUGCUCUCAUUUGAAGCAUGUGGUCCCUGACCAACCGUUUCAUGUUAUCUUAGGCAUUUCAAGUCAUAUAAUUAUUAUUUCACUCUUUUAAUCAGUGGCCAAAAAGACUCAAAACCUUACCUUUUUUUUUUUUUCAUACUUCUCAUAAAUAUAAAAGACCUCCAGGCGUGUACCUGGAUAUUGGCUUUACUGCUGCUGUGUUGCCUUAAUCACUUUAUUUCUUCUUCCUCUAUGAUUUCCUCACUGCCUGUAUUUUAAAUUUUGUUACCAUAUGUAUGUAUUUAUAGGAAUUACCUUCAUUUGCUAUAUAAAGGAAUAUAUAAUAAAUUUUAAAAAAUACAAUCCGUUUAUAAUAUAAUAUAAAUUUAAAUCAGCAAUGUCCAUUCUCAGGGGUGAUGACUUGUUUUAUCUUAUCUCUAAAAGUUGAAUGAAAAGCUUUACCUCAUGAUUACACUGGACUCCAACGACCACAACUUUUAUGCUGACCUCUGGUGGAGAAAUCCUGCCAGACCCUGUCCUGCCAUCCUCCUACCCUCACCCCCUACCUUUCAAGCCCUGACCUGAAGAAGAUGGGGUAUUUCUCAUGUGUGUGUGGUGUCUCCAUUUUAAUAUAGAUAAUGCUCUUUUGUAAGUAAAAAAAAAAAAAUAAGAAAGAAAAAAGAAAGAAAGAAAUACAUGUUUUGUUACAUAGUUAUCAGAGUCUUGGAAAGAAAAGGCAAAAAUGAUUUCCAAAAAUAUAUUUAAAGCUUUUUUUUAUAGAUUCAGAAAUGAGAUUCCACUGUGGGACUGUGUAAGUUUAUCAACCAUUGAAAGCAGAUAGCUGGGGGUCAUGCAUCUCAAAUUUUUAGGAUAGUCCUUCUUUCAAAUAUUUUCAUUUGUUAUCAUCAUCCAUAUCAUGUGUUUUCAUAGUUUAAGAAAGAUGGUGAUUACAUGCUUGUGUAAAGUAUGAGUUGAGAAUAUGAAAAAGAGUGAAAGUCUACAAUCUAAUGUGUUUUUGUCAACAAAGCCAUUUAUUUAGGAGAUUUUGCAAGCACCACUGUGUUAUAUACCAGUAGGCCCAAAUUAUGUUCACAUUUUGUCUUGAUUUGACACCUUUACAUUUUCAAUUCAAAGCUAUACACACCAUGGUAAUAUUUAAAUUUCAAUUCUUAGCUAGUUUUUCGGAGCCUUGCUACUCAAAUUGUGGUCCAAAGACCAGAGACAUCAAUGUCAGAAGGGGGCU